CGGGCCGCCCCGGCGCUCAGUCCGCCGCUGUUUCCGGUUCUGCCCAGCGGCCGGGGGUGGAUGGGAUGAGAACGGGGCGGAGUCUGGGGUCACGCCGCCCUGGAGACGGGGUGUUGCAAGGGGAGCAUCUGGGGCGACUUUGGCCGCUGCCCGGAAGCCUCGGGAGGAGGUGAAGGUGCAGGUGAAGGUGAAGGUCAAGACAGAAGAUACCACCGCGGUGCCUUUUAGAGUUUUUCCAAGCAAGCCACAAGAAGGACUGCAUUUACAUUGUGACUUGUUACAUACACACUUAAGAUGAUGGAAACUGAAAUUUCGCAAAACAAUCCUCUCAUUAUGUGUGAAGCGUUCUUUUUUUUUUCAUUAAAAAAAAUGCUGCUUAUAACCCC